rnacentral:rRNA from 1 species
AACGAACGCUGGCGGCAUGCCUAACACAUGCAAGUCGAACGAGACCUUCGGGUCUAGUGGCGCACGGGUGCGUAACGCGUGGGAACCUGCCCUUAGGUUCGGAAUAACUCCCCGAAAGGGGUGCUAAUACCGGAUAAUGUCUUCGGACCAAAGAUUUAUCGCCUUUGGAUGUGCCCGCGUUGGAUUAGCUAGUUGGUAGGGUAAAAGCCUACCAAGGCGACGAUCCAUAGCUGGUCUGAGAGGAUGAUCAGCCACACUGGGACUGGGACACGGCCCAGACUCCUACGGGAGGCAGCAGUGGGGAAUAUUGGACAAUGGGCGAAAGCCUGAUCCAGCAAUGCCGCGUGAGUGAUGAAGGCCUUAGGGUUGUAAAGCUCUUUUACCCGGGAUGAUAAUGACAGUACCGGGAGAAUAAGCUCCGGCUAACUCCGUG